AGAGUUUGAUCAUGGCUCAGGAUGAACGCUAGCGGCAGGCUUAAUACAUGCAAGUCGUGGGGCAGCAGGACUGUAGCAAUACAGUUGCUGGCGACCGGCAAACGGGUGCGGAACACGUACGCAACCUUCCUUUAAGUGGAGGAUAGCCCGGGGAAACCCGGAUUAAUACUCCGUAACAUUAUGAAGUGGCAUCACUUUAUAAUUAUAGCUCCGGCGCUUAAAGAUGGGCGUGCGUCUGAUUAGGUAGUUGGCGGGGUAAUGGCCCACCAAGCCUACGAUCAGUAACUGGUGUGAGAGCACGACCAGUCACACGGGCACUGAGACACGGGCCCGACUCCUACGGGAGGCAGCAGUAAGGAAUAUUGGUCAAUGGACGCAAGUCUGAACCAGCCAUGCCGCGUGGAGGAUGAAGGUCCUCUGGAUUGUAAACUUCUUUUAUCUGGGAAGAAACCCAUGGUUUCUACUGUGGUUGACGGUACCAGAUGAAUAAGCACCGGCUAACUCCGUGCCAGCAGCCGCGGUAAUACGGAGGGUGCAAGCGUUAUCCGGAUUCACUGGGUUUAAAGGGUGCGUAGGCGGGCAGGUAAGUCAGUGGUGAAAUCUCCGGGCUUAACCCGGAAACUGCCGUUGAUACUAUCUGUCUUGAAUAUAGUGGAGGUGAGCGGAAUAUGUCAUGUAGCGGUGAAAUGCUUAGAUAUGACAUAGAACACCAAUUGCGAAGGCAGCUCGCUACACUAUUAUUGACGCUGAGGCACGAAAGCGUGGGGAUCAAACAGGAUUAGAUACCCUAGUAGUCC
rnacentral:rRNA from 1 species